UACAGAGGUGGCAAGCGUUGUUCGGAAUUACUGGGCGUAAAGGGCGCGUAGGCGGUCUCGUAAGUCCCGCGUGAAAUCCCCCGGCUCAACUGGGGAAUGGCGCGGGAAACUGUGAGGCUUGAGUUCGGGAGAGGGAAGCGGAAUUCCGGGUGUAGCGGUGAAAUGCGUAGAUAUCCGGAGGAACACCGGUGGCGAAGGCGGCUUCCUGGACCGACACUGACGCUGAGGCGCGAAAGCUAGGGGAGCAAACGGGAUUAGAAACCCCCGUAG
rnacentral:rRNA from 1 species